rnacentral:rRNA from 1 species
ACGCUGGCGGCAUGCCUAACACAUGCAAGUCGAACGAGACCUUCGGGUCUAGGUGCGCACGGGUGCGUAACGCGUGGGAACCUGCCUUUAGGUUCGGAAAUAACUCAGAGAAAUUUGAGCUAAUACCGGAUAAUGUCUUCGGACCAAAGGUUUAUCGCCUUUAGAUGGGCCCGCGUUGGAUUAGCUAGUUGGUGGGGUAAAGGCCUACCAAGGCGACGAUCCAUAGCUGGUCUGAGAGGAUGAUCAGCCACACUGGGACUGAGACACGGCCCAGACUCCUACGGGAGGCAGCAGUGGGGAAUAUUGGACAAUGGGCGAAAGCCUGAUCCAGCAAUGCCGCAUGAGUGAUGAAGGCCUUAGGGUUGUAAAGCUCUUUUACCCGAGAUGAUAAUGACAGUAUCGGGAGAAUAAGCUCCGGCUAACUCCGUG